GAUCAUGGCUCAGGAUGAACGCUAGCUACAGGCUUAACACAUGCAAGUCGAGGGGCAUCAGGAUGUAGCAAUACAUUGCUGGCGACCGGCGCACGGGUGAGUAACACGUAUCCAACCUGCCUUUUACUCGGGGAUAGGCUUUCGAAAGAAAGAUUAAUACCCGAUGGCAUAAUAAAUUUCCGCAUGGGGUUAUUAUUAAAGAAUUUCGGUAAAAGAUGGGGAUGCGUUCCAUUAGGCAGUUGGCGGGGUAACGG
rnacentral:rRNA from 1 species